rnacentral:rRNA from 1 species
GACGAACGCUGGCGGCGUGCUUAACACAUGCAAGUCGAACGGUAAGGCCUUUCGGGGUACACGAGUGGCGAACGGGUGAGUAACACGUGGGUGAUCUGCCCUGCACUUCGGGAUAAGCCCGGGAAACUGGGUCUAAUACCGGAUAGGACUGCGCGGUGCAUGCCGUGUGGUGGAAAGAUUUAUCGGUGCAGGAUGGGCCCGCGGCCUAUCAGCUUGUUGGUGGGGUAAUGGCCUACCAAGGCGACGACGGGUAGCCGGCCUGAGAGGGCGACCGGCCACACUGGGACUGAGACACGGCCCAGACUCCUACGGGAGGCAGCAGUGGGGAAUAUUGCACAAUGGGCGCAAGCCUGAUGCAGCGACGCCGCGUGAGGGAUGACGGCCUUCGGGUUGUAAACCUCUUUCAGCAGGGGCGAAGCGUGAGUGACGGUACCUGCAGAAGAAGCACCGGCCAACUACGUG